CCACCCACCAAUCCAUCCAUCCAUCCAUCCACCCGUCUACUCAUUCAUUGGUGAAUACAGCCACCCAUCCAUCCAUCUCUGCACCCAUCGAUUCACACACCCACACACCCAUGCACCCAUCAUCCAUCCAUCCAUCCAUCCAUCCAUCCAUCCAUCCACCCAUCCAGUCUGUCACUUUCUGUUGCACAGAGACAGUGGAGUGGAUGAAAAUUUUGAAAGUGAAAUCAGUAGGCCUUGGAGGCUGUUUGUGUGUGAUAUUUGAUUUCCAGAAGAGCUGCCCUCUUGGUCAGAAGCUGGGGCAGCCUCUCCUUAGCAGGGCGGUCUGCAGAGAGGCCGCGGUCCAGUGGUGGCACUGCUCACUGUGUCGUCUUUGGAGUCUUUGUGGCCUGUCUGCAGUGCUCUCCGUGGCUGGGCAAGCUCACUAUGUGCCCGUGUCUUUUCUGUCUCCCUCUGAGAGUGCAUGUUUUCUUUUUUUCCCUCUGCAGUGUUCCUUUUCUUGGGUUUUCUGUCCAAUUACUGAGCUUUGAGUGCAGAGAUUUGUUCCCGUGGGUGGCUUGGAGUUUAGGACUGCAGCCCACCAUUCAACUUCAGUCCUUAAACUAAAAAGCCCAGCUCUGCACAUGUAGAUAAAACACAUUAUCUUUCAAAAAGAUUGGAAUAAAAAAACCCCACGAAUGCACGGGGCGAGUAUCUAGGCAACUGGGAACCCGGCUCGGCAUAGGCUGGAGACGGAGAUAAUCAGAUUCCUUUUUAGUGGUGCUGGCCUGGAACCUGGCGGCACGGCCCGGGCACAAACGCUCCUUUAUUCCGGGCAGUGUUUGUGUGCUGACCGUGCCAACGUCGUUCUAGUGGACCGCGGUGGAUGGGGCGGCGGGGUCCCAGCGCCUCUGCUCGCGCCAGGGAGCAGACUGAGAACGCCAGAGCCACACAGAAGCCUCUUGUCAGAUGGGCGCCAUGAGGCGGAGACGGGGAGCCCCUGCAGGGUGCGGGCAGUGGCAGAGUGACCAGCAGCGCGUCCUUCCCAGGACCUGGCAGCCUCCAAGCCCAGUGAAGCCGGGCGAGGGAGAAGGGCAGGCAGGCAGCUGGAGGAUGGGGAAGGGGCCCAGGAGCAGGAGCCAGCGAGAAGCUGGAGGGGAAGGGGGGUCCUGAGCAGUGCAGUGAAGGUCCUGAGGGGCGCGUUUCCUGGGGCUCGGGUUCUGGUUCAUGGGGUGCUGCUGUGACAGAUCCAGUGUGUCCUGUAAGUGUGGAAGUCGGAGAAUCUUGCAGGGCUGAGACGGGUGUCGGGAGGGCUGCGGGGCGCUUUCCAGUUCCAGAAGCCGUCCGCAUCCCUCGGCUCACGGCCCUAUCUGUGGCUGCACUGCUGCAACCUCGGUCCCCUCCACCCUCCUCUGAGCCUGACGUCCUGCCUGCUGCACGUACCCUGUGGUCACCCUGGACCUGGUCACUUCUCUGUCUCUCUCAAGGAUGCGAACUUCUCGACACCGGCGAAGCCCCUUUCUCUGCCUCAGGCAGCCCAGGCCCAGGUUCUGAGAUGGGGAUGCAGAUGCCGGGGGUGGUGUGCAUCGUUCUGCGAACCGCUGGGUCUCACAGGGGUUAACGCCUCUGACACCCACAGGAGCUGAUGGGGCUCGUCCCAGGGCCCAGGUCUGCAGAGAGAAUAAAAAAUGUUUGCAGGUCUUUGAUGCCAGGGAGUGGCAGGGCCAGUGUUCACAGAGCGCACCUGUGACCGGGAGUGCUGGUAGGGCCAGGGGCACCAGAUGCCCAGGAAUGCAGGGCGGGGUCUGCCACAGGCAUCCCAGCGAGGUGACGUCCCUGUCCUGGCCGCGCGAGUGCCGUUGUGAGGUCCCUGCAGCGACUCUGAUGCGACACACAAGCCUCUGCUGUGGGGACUACGGCCACUGCGGAUGCCGCUGCAGGAUUCGGGGCACAUUAAUCAUCAGAAGAAAUGCUUAGCUUAGGAGGAGGCAAACAGGAAUAGAGAGAGGGGUGUGUAAGUGUGCGUACGUGCAGCGGGGCCCUGUGGCCCUGUGGCCUGGCUCACUUUCAGGAGACACCAGUGCAGUCAGCGCAGACCCUCACCUACCCAUCCGUGGUAGCUCAGGACAGCACGCUGCUCCAAGCACCCUCAGCUCUGUUAGGCCCGAGGUCCCCCAGUGGCUGCUCUAUCCUCUGAGCAAACUCCCCCUCUGCACUGUGACACAAAGCAUCCAGCUUCUCUCCUCCUCAGGCCUCUUCUCUCUCCUUCCACACUCUACUACCCCAGGAUCUUUGCACCUGCUGCCCUUUGUAUGGGCUUGUUCUUGAAGGGAACAGUAGAUUGUCAUCCCAAAGAGGCCCGACUCUCGUGACCCUGGAAUAGACUCCCUAGCUCAGUGCCCAUGUUGCACAGGGAUGUGGAGGAGGUCAGUGACCCUCGGCGUCGGGGCAGGGAGUGUCCACCACCUCCUCCUAUUCACUAGCAAACAGCAGAGUUUGACCUGACCCAUGGCGCUCAGUACAGGGCAGUGCGCUGUUUGGGACAGACGCUGGAGCAGAAUUCAAAUCCUGACACCAGUGCUCAGGAGCCGGACAUAGUGUCUUGGGACUCUUGUUUCCCUGCUUGUGGUGAUUGUGUGGGGGUUGCCUGGCCUGGACGACAGCACGGAGCUGGCCAUGGUCUCACUGUCUCCCUCUCUCCUUCCUGCUGCCUCUGUGUGUCCUGACCUCCUCUGCUGGUUUUCUUUGCAAGUUGCUGGGACCUGGGAUGCACUGCCUCUGUCCCCACAGCCUGCACCCCUAAACCCGGACAGUGGCGGGAGGACCUUUGCUGGGGAGAACAGUGCGGGUGUCAGCGUGCCCCUGGGGUCGUCUUCAGGAGGAGCCGUUCAGACGGCUUUGAAGGCUUGUGAUUGAGCGUUUCUUCUUUGACUUGUUUUGUUUAAAACUUAAAAAACCAAACACCAACACCUAACCAAACCGUGCCUGCUUGCUUUUCUGGAGUGGCACAGGUGAGGCUUCCGUGCCCGUCGGCCGCCGGCCCCUCUGUGGCACCGUGUUCGAGGGGCAGCUGGGUGCGACCCUGUCGGUUACCCUCGGUGCUGGGCCUGAGCCUGUGUGCCCCGCUCUGGCGGUGGUGAGGCUGGGGGCCUCUCGGUGCCCAUGAGGAUAGAGAGAGCCACCCUGCUGGCCACCUGUGACCAUCUCAUGGCUGGACACAGUACCCAGCACCUGCAGCUGAGGGGAGAAGGCCCAGCUGGUUUGGGGUGGCCAGUGGCUCUGCCACCCCGUCUUCUCAGGGAGCCGAGUCAGCUUCCUCGAGCUGCUGCAGGAAGUUGCCACAAGACGCGGGGAGUCGGGGACUGAGAUGUCAGAGGGACCUCCGCCCCCUGAGACGCAGGGGGCUCCUUCCUGCUCUUCCAGCGUCCAGCGGGGCCAGGGGCUCCUUAGCUUGUGGUUACCUCGAAACCAUCUCUACACCAUGCUCUGCUGCAGACCGUGGCACUCAGGACUGGUGACCGGGCAUGGUGACCGGGACGCUGUCCAGCUUGGCUGCCCUUGGAAGUUAUUUUGGUGGAGCCCUGACUUCAGACUCGGGAGACCCACACACAUCUCCCUCACUCAAAUAAAUUUGUCAUUAUGACUCCUGGCAGACACCACACAAGGCAAGCCACACACAGCAAGCCCGGAGAGUCCAGAAUGAGCCAAAUUUGCAUCUGUCUUGUGGUGUCUGCAGACGAGGACGCUCCCCUCCACACACAUGGUGUCGCCUGUCACCAGGAGCCCACCUUGCUCCCGGCUGAAAGGAGCAAUCAAACUGUCAAGGACAGCGUUUGUAUGUGCGUGUACUUUACAGAUGGCCAGAAAUAACCACUUUGUCGGUGGAGAUACAUCGUGCCCUCAUCAAGGCCACUGGGGGUACUAAUGGCAGAGCCGGGACCCGACCCUCACCUGGCCGCUGCCGGGCCUCCCAGCGCGUGGUGCCAGGGGCACGGUUAGCAAACCUGUAACUGGGUUUGGAUGUUUCGCUGCUUCCUAGUGGACAUUCAGAAAAACAACAGUCCAGCAGGGCUGCUUUGUGCAAGGUGGACCGAGGCCAGCUAGGUGGGAAGGGAGGGGAGGCCAUUAGGAGUGUGGCUCGGUGGGCCUGCGUCUCCCUGGGGCGACCCCGGUGACAUCUGAUUUCCGCAGGGGAAAAGGAAGCACAGACCCCGCUAAGCAGGUUCGGGGAGGAGACUGUGGUCCUCAGCCGGAGGCGCAGAGUGGGCAAAUGUGGGCACCACUGUGGCAGGGAUGAGACCUGACAGCCUUUUAAAGGCUCUGUCAACGCCAUUAAUAUUUAUGGCCUCGCUGCAAAGACAGCUGCUGGGCGGCGCCUCCACCCACGGCUGCUGCUCUGGGGUUGUUCGGCUCCGCUGGGUGACGGCAUGAGAGGGACGAUGGGAAAGGAUUCGUGGCUGUGUUUUGCACCUCCUUAAAGGUGGUUAGAUAACUAGGACGUGUUUUCCAGAUGGUCAUUUUCUUAAGAAAACAAAACAGAGAAUCCCUGGCUGUUGACAGCUGAGCCAGGAUGAUGUUCACUGCCACUCAGAGCAGUGAAUAUGGAAGCUGUGCCUGGAUGUCUGCACUUCCAGCUGCCUAGCCAAAGCCAGUGUUACAAAUGGGGACCAACAAAUGGCCUGGCCAGCCCGUGACCGUCCAGGGAGGAAAGGCCCACCCUGUAGAAUGGGUAGAGACGUGUGCCUGUGGGAAAACUCAGUCUGCUUCACCCUUUACUUAACCUGGGUGCCCUUCAGCAGGCCCUGCCUCAGUUUUCCCAUCUGUACAAAGGGUUUUCUUGCAUCCUACUGUAUAGCCGUAUCCAUCAUUGUCAAGAUGAAAUAAAGCAAUAAACACACAGUGCUUGCUACAGAAAUAUGCAUUGCACACUGACCAUUUGCUUCCAUUUAAUUUUUUCUCAAAAAAAGGUAAUAGUUAAGAGUCGCAGUAAAAAUCAAAGUAUUUAAUAACGGGGUGGCAUGUCCACUAACCAGCUGGAGUAGAUACAGCUGGUGAAUGGUGAUUACAUCCUCAGCUGUGUGUCAGCCCACAAGGAAAUACUCCGAUUGGCUGUUUUUACUUGGCUUGGUGCAGAGCCCAGCAAACCGUUUUCUAAAUGGCUUUGAUCUCACAAAUGAUCAAGAUGGCAUUUUUCUGAGGGCCUUUUAAGGAUUCUUUUCCAAGGGCGAGCAUCGUGGAAGCAGUCCCAGCCAUGCCCACUAGAUGGCGCUGGGAGACCGGUUUAUGGCAUCCUUCGCCCUGCCCGCGGGCUUCCUGAACGCGUGCCCUGCCCUUUUUUCUGCCAAUUAACUGAUCGCUGCAUGGGGCGCUUUGAGUCCAGGAAUUCCCGGCUUCCCCCUGAGCUGGAGGAGAGCAAGGCUCCUCCCGCAGCCUCCGCAGGGCCCCGACGGUACCUGGAGAGGUGUGGCCUCCCUCAGUGGGGUCAGCGCCUGCAGCUAGAUGGAAUUGUGCCUGGAAAUUUUUAAUGCUUCUAUUUACAAUGAUGGAUGCCCACUCGAGGGUUUUAAAAGAGCCGAGGGAUAAAUUGCAGAACCAUCACCCACACAUCUGACUAGGUCCAUGCAGUGUCCAGAGCAGGUGGACGUCACACUGCAUAGCCGUGAGGUCCUACUCUACGUGUCAAUUUUUUUUAAAGGUUCGCACUUAAUUAUAUUUAAUAAAAGACAAAGGAUCCGAUGUGAAA